rnacentral:tRNA from 1 species
GGUUGUGGUUCAGUGGUAGAGCACUCGCCUAGCACAUGUGAGGUACUGGGUUCAAUCCUCAGCACCA